AAAUUUUUGUUUUUUUUUUGAGUUCAAUAAUCCCUGCACACAACUAAAACAAAUGUUUCAACCUUUCAGCUUUUUCCGGUGACAUAAACUGACAAUUCGAACAAGGCGGCAGAUGUUCUCCGGAUAACUUUAAAUGAGACCGAAUACAAUUUCGAACAAAUAAAGUGCAUAAAGAGGAUCUAGAUCAAGUCUUGAUUGGGAUGAUACCAACUUAUGAAGAGACUCAUUGGUGAGCAUGCAGAUUCAUCUGAAAAAAGCGCUGUAUUUGCGACCGUUUCGGGCAUUAUCGACCUAUCCGACAGGGAGCUAGUACGAUUUCGACGAAACAAAGUGCACCAUAUGAAAUUGAAUGAUUUAGAUCAUGUCUUGAUUGGGAUGAUAGCAACCAAAAAAUUGUAAGAUUAAGCGUUUCUUAAGGAGAAGCAUUGGGGAGUAUACAGAUUCAUCUGAAAAAAGCGCUGUAUUUGCGACCGUUUCGGGCAUUAUCGACCUACCCGACAGGGAGCUAGUACGAUUUCGACGAAACAAAGUGCGUGCACCAUAUGAAAUUGAAUGUUGAAGCACUGUUCGAGUGUCUAAUGCAGUGAAACGAAAAAUGAUCUAGAUCGAUUCUUGAUUGGGAUGAUACCAACUUAUGAAGAGACUCAUUGGUGAGCAUGCAGAUUCAUCUGAAAAAAGCGCUGUAUUUGCGACCGUUUCGGGCAUUAUCGACCUAUCCGACAGGGAGCUAGUACGAUUUCGACGAAACAAAGUGCGCCAUUUGAAAUUGAAUGAUUUAGAUCAUGUCUUGAUUGGGAUGAUAGCAACCAAAAAAUUGUAAGAUUAAGCGUUUCUUAAGGAGAAGCAUUGGGGAGUAUACAGAUUCAUCUGAAAAAAGCGCUGUAUUUGCGACCGUUUCGGGCAUUAUCGACCUACCCGACAGGGAGCUAGUACGAUUUCGACGAAACAAAGUGCACCAUAUGAAAUUGAAUGUUGAAGCACUGUUCGAGUGUCUAAUGCAGUGAAACGAAAAAUGAUCUAGAUCGAUUCUUGAUUGGGAUGAUACCAACUUAUGAAGAGACUCAUUGGUGAGCAUGCAGAUUCAUCUGAAAAAAGCGCUGUAUUUGCGACCGUUUCGGGCAUUAUCGACCUAUCCGACAGAAAGCUGUGGUCGUUGUCCUCACCGCGUCAAAAACAAACUUAUUCUGUUUACAAAAUGUCAGUUAUAAAGGUAACAAAAGGUAAAGUAAAGCAACAAAAUUUACAAUAGCGAAAAUGAGAGAAGAUCAAUUGUAUUUCAAUUUGUAAUUUGUACUUGUGCUUAUAUGUUAAUUACAAAUUUGAUACUGAAUAAAAUUAAUAUAUUACAGCCAA